CUUAAUGCAACAAAUUAAACCAUUAGAGAAGGAAAUCAAAAGUACAAUACUCAGCAUUUUGUGUCCCCAAGCAUCCAUGUGCCUUAUCAGAACCCAGGCUUGUGUUAAAUAUAUAACGUGUACUUGUAUAUUUUAAUAUUAGGUAUGAGGUCUGCACAGAGGGAAUCAGGCUACAAAUCAUAACUUUAUUAGUUUUCCUUUUUUACGUAUAUCAAUAACAGGCCACUGUGGAAACGUAGACAUCAUACAGUCAAGUCUUGUGUGGCCCAGUCAAAAGGCUUAAAGCAACAGCUUACAUGCUUUGGCAGGAAAAAAACAAAAACCCUUCUUGCAGUAACAAUGGUUUCAAUUUUAAUAAUUACACGCAAAGAAAAUUGUACAUCGUGUGCUUGGUAUCCUGCCAGAUUUUCGUUACGAGAUCUACGUGGAGACCGCUUCUCCUUUUCUGCGACCAUCAAGAGAUUGACGUCUCGACAACUCUGUCUUCAGCGGCGUGAAGGUACAUAUUUUACAAACAGCAGCGAGAGCAGCGGGCGGGAAGGGGAGGUGUGGAAGACAAAGCAAAACAAAAUACCCUCAUUCAUGACCUUUUAUUGGCUCCUGGCUCUGAUCUCCUCCCGUCACUCAGCUUCACAUUGGCACAAGGUGCUCACUCACUCAGCAACACUCCUCAGCAUCAAGGUCCUUUGUUCAAGUAAAAUACCAGACAGCUUGUUCGAUUCACAGGUUAUAGCAAGCAUUAGAAUCAUCAUCAUCAUCACGAGAAACGUAAUAUUUGGAAAGAAAAAAACCCGCUAAAACAAGAUUUCAAUGAAGGCUGCUCUGAGUUCCCAAGGAAGCACGAGUUUCACUUUCUUUUGCUCAAUUGCAGCGCAAUCUGUGACAAAGCAUGAGUUUCAUGGGAACAUGGUGAGUAAAACCUUUAUUUCGGUCAUUCAGGAUGAAUAAAGACGAAGCAGAUUACAGAGAUGCGGGAUUUUCUCUACUUGGUGGGUCCGGCAGACGUCUUUGUAAGCGAAAGAAACCCGGAAUAACAAAAUAAAUACUCAAGCUAAUAAUUUAUAGUAUCAACAAACCUUCGGUAUCACAGCUUGUU
ensembl:lncRNA